UACGAAGGGGGCUAGCGUUGCUCGGAAUCACUGGGCGUAAAGGGCGCGUAGGCGGCCUGAUAAGUCGGGGGUGAAAGCCUGUGGCUCAACCACAGAAUUGCCUUCGAUACUGUUGGGCUUGAGACCGGAAGAGGUAAGUGGAACUGCGAGUGUAGAGGUGAAAUUCGUAGAUAUUCGCAAGAACACCAGUGGCGAAGGCGGCUUACUGGUCCGGAUCUGACGCUGAGGCGCGAAAGCUAGGGGAGCAAACGGG
rnacentral:rRNA from 1 species